rnacentral:rRNA from 1 species
UACGAAGGGGGCUAGCGUUGUUCGGAUUUACUGGGCGUAAAGCGCGUGUAGGCGGGUCGGUAAGUUGGGGGUGAAAUCCCGAGGCUCAACCACGGAACUGCCUUCAAAACUGGCGACCUGGACUCAAGUAGAGGCAAGUGGAAUUGCGAGUGUAGAGGUGAAAUUCGUAGAUAUUCGCAGGAACACCAGUGGCGAAGGCGGCUUGCUGGACUUUUACUGACGCUGAGACGCGAAAGCGUGGGGAGCAAACAGG